rnacentral:rRNA from 1 species
GUGGGGAAUAUUGGACAAUGGGCGAAAGCCUUAUCCAGCCAUGCCGCGUGUGUGAAGAAGGUCUUCGGAUUGUAAAGCACUUUAAGUUGGGAGGAAGGGCAGUAAGUUAAUACCUUGCUGUUUUGACGUUACCGACAGAAUAAGCACCGACUAACUUCGUGCCAGCAGCCGCGGUAAUACGAAGGGUGCAAGCGUUAAUCGGAAUUACUGGGCGUAAAGCGCGCGUAGGUGGUUUUGUAAGUUGGAGGUGAAAUCCCCGGGCUCAACCUGGGAACUGCCUCCAAAACUGCAUGACUAGAGUACGGUAGAAGGUAGUGGAAUUUCCUGUGUAGCGGUGAAAUGCGUAGAUAUAGGAAGGAACACCAGUGGCGAAGGCGACUACCUGGACUGAUACUGACACUGAGGUGCGAAAGCGUGGGGAGCAAACAGGAUUAGAAACCCGAGUAGUCC